rnacentral:misc_RNA from 1 species
GAAACGCGAUAGUUAAUGUGAAUUGCAGGAUUCAGUGAAUCAUCGAGUCUUUGAACGCACAUUGCGCCCAUAGGUAUUCCUUUGGGCAUGUCUGUUUGAGCGUCAUUACAACCCUCAGCUAACCGCUGGUUUUGAACCUGAACGGGUGACACCGCGCCGGUUUUAAAGUUGUAAGCUCUGCUGGCCGCUCUGCCCAACCAGAACAUAGUAAGCACUACUUGUCCGGGUGAAGCUGAACGGUACGGCCUGAACAAAACCUACCCACUCUCAAGGUUUGACCUCAGAUCAGACAAGGAUACCCGCUGAACUUAAGC